AUAGGGUUUGUAAAGAACUUGAUAAAAGACUUGAUUAAAGAAACAUAUGUCUAAAAACAAUAUAUAAAACCCUAAAAACGUCGAGGGACUAAUAAUGCAAAUAGGAAAGUUUUCUGGGGCAAAUUUCCUCUUCUGUAAAACUUGAAAGCGUCAUGGACUUUUGCUGGGCUGAAACUGGUGUCGAUCGACACCAAGAGUGUGUCGAUCGACACUCCUCGCUGAUUCCUGAACCAAAAUCGUCCUUAGCUUCCUUUUCCUUAGCUUUUGCUCCAAAAUGUCUCCUUAUAUUCAUUGUUGUCCCAUUGCAUAGAAUACAUGAAAAGACACUAAAAAGACUCGAGAAAUAACAUAAAGACUCAAAAUCCUAUACCUAAAACAUAGAUAAAAUCGGUGAAAAUCGGGUUAUAUCAACUCCCCCAGACUUAGCUUUUGCUUGCCAUCAAGCAAAACACAAAAGUCAAACCCGUGGAAGAGGUUUUGAAAACAUUCUUUAGCCUAUUGCCAUGAUCAUUCAAACUAAGUCCAUAUGCCUAACAAGUCUAAUCAAGUCCUAACCAGCAUGUACUUCUCUGUAAGCUUACACAACAUUCUAGAUUCCAUGGCUAAGUUCCACAAAUAUACCCGCCAGGCUUUCAUCGGUGUUCUUUCUCUCCCCAGACUUAUUCUUUUUAGAGAGUAAACAAAGGGGAACUCGCAUACUGGAUCGACACCCUCGGCAUUUUUCCAACCUUUGUAAUUGAUCAUUCA
rnacentral:sRNA from 1 species